rnacentral:lncRNA from 1 species
GCGGAGGUUGCAGAGAGCCGAGAUUGCACCUUUGCACUCCAGCCUGGCAAAAGAGCGAGACUCCGUCCAAAAAAGAAAAAGAAAUUGCUAAAGAUUACACACACACACACACACACACACACAAAUACAAAUAAACAGCUAAUAAAUGAAUUCGGUAAAGUUGCAGGACACAAAAUCAACACAUAUGACUUCCUGAUGGUAAUUUUUUUAAAUUAAAUUUUAAAAAUUAAAAGAAAACAAGAUUAACUCAUAAAAGUUAGUUGCAUUUCCAUACACUAGCAAUGAACAAUCAGAAAAAGAAAUUAAACUUUUUUUUCAUUUACAAUAGCAUCAAAAAAAGUAAAAUACUUGAGAAUAUAUUUUACCAAGGAGGUAAAAGACUUGUACAUAGAAUACUGCAAAACAUUGCUGAAAUAAAUAAGAAGACCCAAAUAAAUAGAAAGACAUCUCAUGUUCAUGGAUUGGAAGACUUAAUAUGGUUAAGACAACAAUACUACCCCAAAUAACCUACAGACUCAAUGUAAUUCCUAUCAAAAUCCCAACAGCAAUUAGCAAGGCAUGGUGAUGCACACCUGUAGUCCACCACCUCAGGAGACUAAGGUGGAUCACUUGAGCCCAGGAGUUCAAAGCUACAGUGAACUCUGAUUGUGCCACUGCAUUCCAGUCGGAGCAACAGAGAGAGACUAUGGAAAAGAAAAAAAAAAAUCUCAACAGCAAUUUUUGCAGAAAUAGAAAAAAUCCUAAAAUCUCAAAAAAUCCUAAAUAGCCAAAACAAUCCUGGGAAAAAGGAGCAAAGUUGGAGAGCUUAACAUUUUCUAAUUUUAAAACUCACUAUAAAAUUAGCCGGGCGUAGUGGCG